AAAAAAAAAAUGGAAAACGAAAAAAAUAAAUAAAUAAAUAAAUAAAAGAAAAAAUCUUGGACUUGGACCUCUCUCAUUUGAGCCCCCAGGUCCACAAAAAUCAGGUUAUAAAUUCAGAGUUUCAGUGAAACAAAAUUCAUUCUAUUCCUAUUACCCUGUCUAGGAAAAAGAUAGUGAGAGAAGAACCCUGGGGAAAAAGAUAGUGAGAGAAGAGCUAACAGAGUUCAGAGCAACCUCCAGGCAACUCUGAAAGGUUCAUUCUGAUUCACACACUUUCAGCUCAAGCAAACCCUAACAUUGGUUUGCAAAUCCAGCCGUGCCAU
rnacentral:lncRNA from 1 species